UACGGAGGGUGCAAGCGUUAAUCGGAAUUACUGGGCGUAAAGCGCACGCAGGUGGCUGAGUCAGUCGAUUGUGAAAGCCCUGGGCUUAACCUGGGAAUUGCAGUCGAUACUACUCAGCUAGAGUAUGGGAGAGGGUAGUGGAAUUCCCGGUGUAGCGGUGAAAUGCGCAGAUAUCAGGAAGAACACCUAUGGCGAAGGCAGCUCUCUGGGACGGUACUGACGCUGAGACGCGAAAGCGUGGGGAGCGAACAGG
rnacentral:rRNA from 1 species